UCACUCUCUCAGCUCCCCAUCUGCAUGGUUGAGCCUGCUCUCUGGGCUUUCCUUCCAUGUGGCCUCCAUGUGGAAUGUGGACCUCUUCUAGGACCUGUGGAUAUAAUGAAUCCUCCAAUUUCAGAUGCCUCUCUGAGUGCAAUUUCCACAGCUUUGUUGGAAUAAUCCUUAAAGGCCCCAUGAGGAGGACUUAGUUCCUCCCUUGCAACGCAGUGCAAUUCUGAAAUUUCAGCUGAUUUAUCUGGUGAAAGUAACAGUGUAUUUCUUCCAAGACUAAGUCAUAAAGGGCACGGACACUUCCUCCUCUUCCUCCUUCCUUGUUCUCUCUUAGAUCACUCACUCUGGGGGACACGAGCUCUCGACAACCUAGCAGCCCAUGAAAGAGGCCCCUGUGGCGAGGAACCGUCGACAGUCAUACGAGUGAACCACACUGGAAGUAGAUCCUCCAGCCCCAGUCAAGCCUUCAGAUGACUGCAGCCCCAGCUGACAUCCUGGAAGCAUAGCCCCCUUUAUGUAGGAGGCAGAUAAUCUCAUCCCUGUAGGCAUUUGAGUUUAUGACUUCUUUCAAAUUACCAAAUCCCUUUCUCCGACCACGACCUACAUUUGCUUGUUGUUUCUUCCCCAAGGAUGACCAAAUCAAUAAAUCCUGGCUACCGGGGGAAGAAGCACGAGGGAGACGAUGAGUCUGGAUUUGUGGGGUGCUGCUCGGCCCAGAUUUCAAGCCCACAUAUUCUUUGCGCAGACUGUUU
rnacentral:lncRNA from 1 species